CCUCUCCCUCUCCUCAUCUAUCUGUCUCUGUCUCUGUCUCUCUGUAUGUGGCUACAUGGUCUCUAAGAAGAAGUAUGAUUGCUUUAAUCUAGGUUGGUUUGUCUCCUCUCUCCCUCUUCGUUCCAGUAACCCUCUCGCCCUUGGGGAUAGGAUGUGCUGUGAUUCUUUGGUGGUAUUAUUAUAUGAGGAGAGGGACUUGCAGAUUUGGCACUUCUUGUGUUUGAUUGAAUUCUUAUAUU